rnacentral:rRNA from 1 species
UACGUAGGGUCCGAGCGUUGUCCGGAAUUAUUGGGCGUAAAGAGCUCGUAGGCGGUUUGUCGCGUCUGCUGUGAAAUCCCGAGGCUCAACCUCGGGCCUGCAGUGGGUACGGGCAGACUGGAGUGCGGUAGGGGAGAAUGGAAUUCCUGGUGUAGCGGUGGAAUGCGCAGAUAUCAGGAGGAACACCGAUGGCGAAGGCAGGUCUCUGGGCCGUAACUGACGCUGAGGAGCGAAAGCAUGGGGAGCGAACAGG